CAGUCGCCACGGGAAUACGUAGGUGGCAAGCGUUGUCCGGAAUUAUUGGGCGUAAAGCGUGCGCAGGCGGUUAUAUAAGUCAGAUGUGAAAUCCCCGGGCUCAACCUGGGAACUGCAUUUGAGACUGUAUGGCUAGAGUGUGUCAGAGGGGGGUAGAAUUCCACGUGUAGCAGUGAAAUGCGUAGAUAUGUGGAGGAAUACCGAUGGCGAAGGCAGCCCCCUGGGAUAACACUGACGCUCAUGCACGAAAGCGUGGGGAGCAAACAGGAUUAGAUACCCCAGUAGUCCCUGUCUCUUAACA
rnacentral:rRNA from 1 species